rnacentral:rRNA from 1 species
UGGCCAGACUCCUACGGGAGGCAGCAGUGGGGAAUAUUGCACAAUGGGCGCAAGCCUGAUGCAGCCAUGCCGCGUGUAUGAAGAAGGCCUUCGGGUUGUAAAUUACCUUCAGCGGGGAGGAAGGGAGUAAAGUUAAUACCUUUGCUCAUUGACGUUACCCGCAGAAGAAGCACCGGCUAACUCCGUGCCAGCAGCCGCGGUAAUACGGAGGGUGCAAGCGUUAAUCGGAAUUACUGGGCGUAAAGCGCACGCAGGCGGUUGAUUGAGUCAGAUGUGAAAUCCCCGGGCUUAACCCGGGAAUUGCAUCUGAUACUGGUCAGCUAGAGUCUUGUAGAGGGGGGUAGAAUUCCAUGUGUAGCGGCGAAAUGCGUAGAGAUGUGGAGGAAUACCGGUGGCGAAGGCGGCCCCCUGGACAAAGACUGACGCUCAGGUGCGAAAGCGUGGGGAGCAAACAGGAUUAGAUACCCCCGUAU